UUUCCGUAGGUGAACCUGCGGAAGGAUCAUUGACAUCUUUCUAAAAACUUAUAGUGGGUUACCGCUAUAACCACACCAGUGAAAUGUUAAAGUUACUUUAAUGGUGGCUUUUUAUUUAACUCCAAAUUUUGCCUUAUCUUUGUAAUAGGGGAUAAGACACUUGUAUAAUAUCAUUUAACCAUGAUACAACCCCCAACGAUGGAUAUCUCGGCUCCUGCAUCGAUGAAGAACCAGC
rnacentral:misc_RNA from 1 species